rnacentral:rRNA from 1 species
CUAACGCUGAGAUACGAUGUCGAGCUACUACGGUAGUGAAGUCAUUGAUGCCAUGCUUCCAGGAAAAGCCUCUAAGCUUCAGAUUGUAAGGAAUCGUACCCCAAACCGACACAGGUGGUCGGGUAGAGAAUACCAAGGCGCUUGAGAGAACUCGGGUGAAGGAACUAGGCAAAAUGGUACCGUAACUUCGGGAGAAGGUACGCUCUUAUCAGUGAAGUCCCUUGCGGAUGGAGCAGACGAGAGUCGCAGAUACCAGGUGGCUGCAACUGUUUAUUAAAAACACAGCACUGUGCAAAAUCGUAAGAUGACGUAUACGGUGUGACGCCUGCCCGGUGCCGGAAGGUUAAUUGAUGGGGUUAGACUUCGGUCGAAGCUCUUGAUCGAAGCCCCGGUAAACGGCGGCCGUAACUAUAACGGUCCUAAGGUAGCGAAAUUCCUUGUCGGGUAAGUUCCGACCUGCACGAAUGGCGUAAUGAUGGCCACGCUGUCUCCACCCGAGACUCAGUGAAAUUGAAAUCGCUGUGAAGAUGCAGUGUACCCGCGGCUAGACGGAAAGACCCCGUGAACCUUUACUACAGCUUGGCACUGAACAUUGAACCUACAUGUGUAGGAUAGGUGGGAGACUAUGAAAUUGCGUCGCUAGAUGUGAUGGAGUCGUCCUUGAAAUACCACCCUUGUAGUUUUGAUGUUCUAACGUUGGUCCCUGAAUCGGAUUACGGACAGUGCCUGGUGGGUAGUUUGACUGGGGCGGUCUCCUCCCAAAGAGUAACGGAGGAGCACGAAGGUGGGCUAAACACGGUUGGACAUCGUGUGGUUAGUGCAAUGGCAUAAGCCCGCUUGACUGCGCGAAUGACAAUUCGAGCAGGUGCGAAAGCAGGUCAUAGUGAUCCGGUGGUUCUGAAUGGAAGGGCCAUCGCUCAACGGAUAAAAGGUACUCCGGGGAUAACAGGCUGAUACCGCCCAAGAGUUCAUAUCGACGGCGGUGUUUGGCACCUCGAUGUCGGCUCAUCACAUCCUGGGGCUGAAGUCGGUCCCAAGGGUAUGGCUGUUCGCCAUUUAAAGUGGUACGCGAGCUGGGUUUAGAACGUCGUGAGACAGUUCGGUCCCUAUCUGCCGUGGGCGUUGGAAAAUUGAAAGGGGCUGCUCCUAGUACGAGAGGACCGGAGUGGACGAACCUCUGGUGUUCGGGUUGUCAUGCCAAUGGCAUUGCCCGGUAGCUAAGUUCGGAAUCGAUAACCGCUGAAAGCAUCUAAGCGGGAAGCGAGCCUUGAGAUGAGUUUUCCCUGGCACUAUAAGUGUCCUAAAGGGUUGUCGUAGACUACGACGUUGAUAGGCAGGGUGUGUAAGUGCUGCGAGGCAUUGAGCUAACCUGUACUAAUUGCCCGUGAGGCUUAACCAUACAACACCCAAGGGGUUU